AUUGAACGCUGGCGGCAUGCCUUACACAUGCAAGUCGAACGGUAACAGGUCUUUCGGGAUGCUGACGAGUGGCGAACGGGUGAGUAAUACAUCGGAACGUGCCUAGUAGUGGGGGAUAACUACUCGAAAGAGUGGCUAAUACCGCAUGAGAUCUAUGGAUGAAAGCAGGGGACCUUUGGGCCUUGUGCUACUAGAGCGGCCGAUGGCAGAUUAGGUAGUUGGUGGGAUAAAAGCUUACCAAGCCUACGAUCUGUAGCUGGUCUGAGAGGACGAUCAGCCACACUGGGACUGAGACACGGCCCAGACUCCUACGGGAGGCAGCAGUGGGGAAUUUUGGACAAUGGGCGCAAGCCUGAUCCAGCAAUGCCGCGUGCAGGAUGAAGGCCUUCGAGUUGUAAACUGCUUUUGUACGGAACGAAAAGUCUUGGGUUAAUACCCUGGGAUCAUGACGGUACCGUAAGAAUAAGCACCGGCUAACUACGUG
rnacentral:rRNA from 1 species